rnacentral:lncRNA from 1 species
AAAGAUUUAGCCAGACAUGGUAACACAAACUAGCACAACGGUGUUAAUCAUGAUGAAAAGUUUGUUUUAUAAUGUGAGGCGUGGAGAGCGAGUAAAAUGCGUAAAGUAAAUAAAGUAAAGCGAGUGCGGAAAAUAAAUAAAGUAAAGUGAGUGCAGAAAAUAAAUAAAGUAGAGCGAGUGCAGAAAAUAAAUAAAAUAAAAGCGAUGCGGGAAAUAAAUAAAAUAAAAGCGAUGCGGGAAAUAAAUAAAAUAAAAGCGAUACGGGAAAUAAAUAAAAUAAAAGCAACGCGGGAAAUAAAUAAAUAAAGCGAUAAAUAAGAACCUACUCCAGACGGAGGCUUCGAUUCUGGUACAAAAAUAAACCUCCAACUCCUGAAG